UUUAUGGAGAGUUUGAUCCUGGCUCAGGAUGAACGCUGGCGGCGUGCCUAAUACAUGCAAGUCGAGCGAACAGAUAAGGAGCUUGCUCCUUUGACGUUAGCGGCGGACGGGUGAGUAACACGUGGGUAACCUACCUAUAAGACUGGAAUAACUCCGGGAAACCGGGGCUAAUGCCGGAUAACAUGUUGAACCGCAUGGUUCUACAGUGAAAGACGGUCUUGCUGUCACUUAUAGAUGGACCCGCGCCGUAUUAGCUAGUUGGUGGGGUAACGGCCUACCAAGGCGACGAUACGUAGCCGACCUGAGAGGGUGAUCGGCCACACUGGAACUGAGACACGGUCCAGACUCCUACGGGAGGCAGCAGUAGGGAAUCUUCCGCAAUGGGCGAAAGCCUGACGGAGCAACGCCGCGUGAGUGAUGAAGGUCUUCGGAUCGUAAAGCUCUGUUGUUAGGGAAGAACAAAUGUGUAAGUAACUGUGCACAUCUUGACGGUACCUAACCAGAAAGCCACGGCUAACUACGUGCCAGCAGCCGCGGUAAUACGUAGGUGGCAAGCGUUAUCCGGAAUUAUUGGGCGUAAAGCGCGCGUAGGCGGUUUUUUAAGUCUGAUGUGAAAGCCCACGGCUCAACCGUGGAGGGUCAUUGGAAACUGGAAAACUUGAGUGCAGAAGAGGAAAGUGGAAUUCCAUGUGUAGCGGUGAAAUGCGCAGAGAUAUGGAGGAACACCAGUGGCGAAGGCGGCUUUCUGGUCUGCAACUGACGCUGAUGUGCGAAAGCGUGGGGAUCAAACAGGAUUAGAUACCCUGGUAGUCCACGCCGUAAACGAUGAGUGCUAAGUGUUAGGGGGGUUUCCGCCCCUUAGUGCUGCAGCUAACGCAUUAAGCACUCCGCCUGGGGAGUACGGUCGCAAGACUGAAACUCAAAGGAAUUGACGGGGACCCGCACAAGCGGUGGAGCAUGUGGUUUAAUUCGAAGCAACGCGAAGAACCUUACCAAAUCUUGACAUCCUUUGACCGCUCUAGAGAUAGAGUUUUCCUCUUCGGAGGACAAAGUGACAGGUGGUGCAUGGUUGUCGUCAGCUCGUGUCGUGAGAUGUUGGGUUAAGUCCCGCAACGAGCGCAACCCUUGAACUUAGUUGCCAUCAUUCAGUUGGGCACUCUAAGUUGACUGCCGGUGACAAACCGGAGGAAGGUGGGGAUGACGUCAAAUCAUCAUGCCCCUUAUGAUUUGGGCUACACACGUGCUACAAUGGACAAUACAAAGGGCAGCGAAACCGCGAGGUCAAGCAAAUCCCAUAAAGUUGUUCUCAGUUCGGAUUGUAGUCUGCAACUCGACUACAUGAAGCUGGAAUCGCUAGUAAUCGUAGAUCAGCAUGCUACGGUGAAUACGUUCCCGGGUCUUGUACACACCGCCCGUCACACCACGAGAGUUUGUAACACCCGAAGCCGGUGGAGUAACCAUUUUGGAGCUAGCCGUCGAAGGUGGGACAAAUGAUUGGGGUGAAGUCGUAACAAGGUAGCCGUAUCGGAAGGUGCGGCUGGAUCACCUCCUUUCU
rnacentral:rRNA from 1 species